UUGCAGUGAUAUCGGGUCACCAGGGGAUGCUACAGCGAAGUUAGCCCAUACGCUUUUGUCGAGAUUAAAAUAGCAAGAAGCAAAGAGAGGUCGGAAACGCUGCAGAGGAGUGGAAUCAAGGAGCAAUUGCAGAUCUUGCAUGCUGGAGCUGUAAGGAGAAAAUAAAUCGGAGCACCUCUGUCUGUGCUGCUAUUCCCUUUCUGCUCAUCCCCUGGCCCUGGCUCUGUUGUUCCUUCUGUUUGAGCAGCAUCGGAUGUGGAGGAGGGUUCUCUCGCCGUAUCCGCGUCGGAGGAAGAGCGGGGAUAAGAUGAGAGAACCCGGAGCCGUGCCCGAACAAAAUGGCAGAAAACAGCAGCGACAGAGACUUAGUAACUGAGAAUUUAUGGAGCUUGCAUUGCUAAUACCGCCAGCAAGCUCUUCUGGCAGAUAGAAGAAAAAAUCGAGUAGAUGUGGAUGGAGCCGACACCGACUGUUCUCACUACCGAUGGGCAUCAGGAACCGUACCAUGCCUCUUGACCUGGCCAUCGAGCACAUCCACCACACAGGAGGAUGGCGGCGGAUCUGCACGCUCCGCGCGAGUGACCUCGCUGGAUGGACCCAGAACUGGAGGAACUCACUGGCACCCUGC